UGAUUUAAGUCAGGGUAAGGAUGGAUAGU
rnacentral:piRNA from 1 species